AUGGACGGCGACUACGCAGUUGUGAAGGCACGCAGCCGACGCGCGCAUCGAGUGAAAACGAAACUACUAUUUGCCGCAACCGCUGCGGACGAAACUGCGGUAGUUAUCGACGCGAUCAGAGAUAGCAACUACGCACUUACGGAGGCACGCGGCUAGCCGCCAACGCGGUGUUACGCGCGGCGAUAAACGCAAGAAUAAAGGCUUUAAAGGCACAAUUAGGCACGAAGCGCUUCGGCGUUGCUGUCAGUCACGUGCCGCGUACGAUUACCGCUGAGGACCACGGCGAUGCGGACUGCGCCGCUUCGUUUCGGUUGGACGCUACGCCGUUCUUGCUCUUCUGCGGCGCGCAUUUGCGGUGCUCCGCGUUUUUUUUUUCCCUUCAACGUAUAGGUCAGUGCGCACGCUAUCGGCACCUACCCUAUCUACAAAUAGGAGAAAGGCGCAUGGUGGUAAGUUACGGCCUCCGAGAUUCAAGUGCGAAAGCUUAGGCGCGCUGCCCGUUCUCAGAGGUUGGGUGGCUACAAGCUGCUUGCGUAUUUAUUGCGCAGUUCGCGCGUUGCUGUUACGCACUGUGAUGUGAUUUUUGACACUCGGGCACGGGUAAUGGAGGUUCUUUGGAUCAAGCGCACCUCGUGUUCGCCGUUUUAGACACUUGUCGGGAGCGGGACCAGGGAAAAUUUAUCAGUGGCUCGCGGAACCCCGAGCAGGGGCCUGCGGAACCCGUAGGUUCCGCGGAACCCACUUUGAGAACCCAUGUUGUAGGAGAUGGGGCCAAAAGCAGGCCCUGAGGCCACUCCUCUCUUUCUCUUUUUGAAUAAAGAUGUUUAUACAUCACCACCUCUUGACAAGAAGAAAAAUUUAAUCAUUGAUGACUCUAGUCUGAGUAAUCAUUGUUUGUGACUCUCCUGUGGUGGUGAAGGGCUGAGGCCUGACUUUUUCUUCCUCCUCUUACCUAGUCAGCCUUUCACUUCUUACCGAUGGCUUUAUUUAAAUUAUUUUAUUCAUAUAAUUUAUUCCAGUGCUUCUGCAAGGUGGCCAUUGGAUAAGGUGCUCGUUUGUAAGCAAACUGGCAUAGCACGAGCAGUAAGAUUAGAAAACUGCAUUUACACUUUUCUGCUUCUUUGCUGUUCACCGCUUUGAACAAUAAUCUUUGUCAAGUGACUGUAGAAAACUGUGGCCUGUCAGUUAAUGCAUUUACAUUUACUCAAUUCGAGCACACAAGUGUUUUUUCCAAGUAAAUGAGUCCAAAAAUUGCCCAUGAAUUACAAUUGGAUGCGAAACUAAAACUGCAUUCACAGCAUUGAAAACAGCCUACCAUCCGAGCAGCCAUUGUCGGGACAAGAUGGCAAUGGCAGUUUGAAGCCAAACAUUUGCACACCUUUGUUUAAUAUAAGCAAGACGAUUAUUAUUGAUACCUUAGCAGGCAAUAAGUCUUGGUUCUUCAAUGUUUCACGCAGCUGCUAUCUAUGCUAGCAUGCUCUUGGACAGGUAAUAAUGAUUGAUUGCAUUAGAGAAGCUUAAAACUGAAGUUAUUCUUUUAUCCGACAUAUUUCCUGACAGACCAAGCCCCAGUCGAGAGUUGUUCCCUGUCACUGUCACUUGGGCGUGCCGAGGACUUCCCGACAGAAAAGCUGAACCGCCUGAGCCCGCCUCCAAAGACGUCCCCAACGAAGGGCUCGCCGACGAGGACGACUCGCGGCAGCAGCUUCCGUCCACGCCCCACUUACCUCAGCACAUCUCCGACAAAGUCGUCGCCCAAGAAGGCAGGUGGCAGCAGUGGGCGGAAUUCGGGAGCGGAAGCAUCGGCGCUGCGAGCCACUUCCCCUACGACAGUGAUGACAAAGCCGUGGACCGGUUACGACACCAUGCCAGCAAAGUCAGCGGCAGAUGUAGAUGCCUCUGCGACGAGACCUGGAAGGGUUGCACUCCUGGCGGCAAAGUUUUCGCAGCCAGCGGGCGUGACCCCUUCGUCGAAGUGGCACUGCAAGUUCCCAGAGGUCGACGACCUGGAGCAGACACUGCCCAGCCGUGGUGGUCGCGGCGGCUGCUCGCCCAUGGACGGUGACGAGAACUCGUUCGUGCCCGUCAAUGGCAUGGUCUUUCAGAGCCAGACGCUGAAUCGUGCGCCCGUGCCUCUGUCGCCCGAGACGCUUAACCGCCGGAUCCUGUCCCCACGUGUGACGCGUUCGUCGAGGUCGGCUCGGAACCUUAACUCCAGCUUCGACUAUGAACAGGAUGUCAUUGGCCGGGAGAACAAGGCUACUUCCACAGCCGAAGAUGCCGGAACACCCGCGUCGCUUAAGGAAGCAUUCUGGACAAUCACUUCUGUCUGACCAGCUGUGCGUGAGCCGGUCACUGAGCAGCCGCGCAACACUGUUUAGUUGAGUAAUGAAAACCUGCCGCAACAAGCGCCACAACCCCUUGCAUUGCUCCACGGCAGUUGCACCCGUUGAUAACACUUGACAUGUACAGAUUGCAUAAGAAAGACGCUGUCCGCAACAACAGGCAGUCAUGUGCUGGGACGUCAUGGUCAUUACCUCCGAAGGAAGCUGACUGCAAAGACAGAACGGUCAGCAUUGCACCUUAAUGAAGCUGAUUGCAAUGAUAGGACUGUCAGCUGCAACAGCAGGACCGUCGCCUCCAACGACAGGACAGUCAGCCUUGCAUCUGUCGGAAGCUGAAUGUAACGACAGGACAGUAAACACUGCAAUCACUGAAGGUGAGGACAUUGUGUGUGUGUGUGCGCGCAUGGUCCGGACUCUGGUUGCAGUGACUCUACAAUGUCGAUAAACGAGAGAUGGUCGGCGCUGACUUCCCACACAACGAAAAAUGCAUGUGGCCACUGGGCCUUCUGGAAACAGUGUGAGCAGCCUACGACGACGUCAUUUGUCUAGUCUUGUUUAGCCCCCUUUCCCUUCAACGUCUCGAAGGGCUCUCCCUCUUCAUGUUACGCUACGAGAACCUGUCGUUUUGCCUUCAACCCCCCUCCCCACCCCUGUUCCCUUUUUCAGAGUGUGUUAUAUAUAUAUAGUAUAUAUAUAUAUACUGCUCGGCAGUUGUUGCAUUUUUUUAGUCGCCUGAGAGUUUCUUUUUAUAUAUAGUUCCCCAGAGUCAUUCGUAUAUUCGUGGGAUGAGCAUAUAGAAAUAUGUGACAAGGUUGUGAAUGCGUGCUCCACAGAACGCACCCAUUGGAGUGUCAUCUUCCCCUUCCCGGUGUUUCCCCUAACACUUUGUUGAGAGGAAUGUCGUGCUCUCAUCAUAAUCGUCAGCUAAGUUUAGCUUGGUUGUCGCUGCAAUGAGGCAUAAAAUGAGUUGGGGGCGUCUGCGCGGUGUCUGCUCGACGUUGCACAGGCUCGGGGUUUUUUGUUAAUGCACACAGUGAGGACUGCUCUUCCAUUCAUAGUCAGGCUACUGCUUGUAGACUUAAAAGAAGACCACUCACAAAGAACCAAGGGGUUUCUUUGCAGAUGAGAGCACUGCACAAUUAACUUAGAAGAAUUUCUAGGAUGAGAGUAGUUCUUUUAUACCAGUCUUUCAUAAUGUCUUGGAAUUGCAGCAACUGCUAUGACCAGCAUUGUCGUCGUCUUUUGCAAGGUGCAAGCGUGCGUGGAAGUGCAAGAACUUUGUAUAGUUGUGUCCAUGUCUUUGCUGCAACAACUGCAUAUGGACGUGAUAAGUUAAAUCUCUUGUUAGUUGUGUUUUUGGCAUUCACGAUAGACACUUUUCAAAAACCAUUGAGUUGGCUUCCUUGCAUAACUGGAUACCCCAAAUAUGAUGAUUCCCAUAAUUAAAAAUGACAUCCAAGGGUUAAAAGGCCCGUUUCUUACUGCAUUGCAUGCCAAAGCAUCGCGUGCUUUGCAUAAAUAUUUCACAAAGUAAAUUGCAGUAGCAGCAGAUAUGUAAACAGCAUAAACAAUAUGUUCACUGCUUUGUUUAGGACACAAAGUGUUGCAGGAAUGUUCUCCUGCUGUUUACGAAAAAAUGCCACGAGCCUUUUUCACAUAGUGGUGAAGUUGCCAUUCCUGCAAUGCCUUGUUGAAAAUGCGGAAGAUACUACAUUUGUUGGAAUGAUAGUGUUACGGGGAGGCUGUUUGUUUGUUAUGUGGCUGUUUCAUUUUUUUUAAAGACUUUUCCAUGCCAAAAAAAGUCGCAUCGAAAUUUAUAUCAAGACAAUUGUCAGUAUACAGCAAUUACUUAUCUCUGCCAAUCAACAUCACUCUGUUUAGUUCAAGAAAUGGCCUUUUUUAAGAAAAUUGCUGAGUACUUCUGGCAUGCCAGCCAGAAAAUUAAAAAAUCUUGGUCUGUUGAUAGUGCCACUGGCUUUCUUUACACGUCUGCAUGCUCCACUUUUAUGAAAGCCUGUGCUGUAAUAUUCAAAGUUUAAAAUGCGCGUUAAUGCACAUGUAUCUUGUAGAGGGGUGAUCUAUCACAUGAGCAAACACAUUCCCAGUCAGCAAAGGGCAGCAAAAGGCUGUUGAACAAAUUAUUUAGAGCCGUUAAGCCGUCUUUUGGUAAUAGCCAUGAACUAUAGAUAAAGGUGUAUCAUUCUCAUCAUUCACACACACUGAGCUGGAUUUCGACCUGUGACCAGCUCAACUCAUCGGCCCUUACUGUAUUUUUGCUAGUACAUAACUCACGUCUGCAUGUAACCCGCAACCCUUAAUACAGCCCUCGACAGAGGCAUGGAAAAUAGAGAAAUCCAAACUUACCCAUGCGCACACUUCACAGCAUUUCACCCUGAAUUGCCAUAGAGCCACAUUUCAAAGUCAAAUUUGUGUAUAGCCAACACUCCAUUUUUGUACUUGCAUUUCUUGAUUUUUGAAACAUGGCUAGUAUGCGCGAAAAUACGGCCUAUUGGGUCAACAUGUCGUAAGGAGUAAGGCUCAUCUGCAUCGGGGAAAAGGCUUAACAGCACUAAAAUGUCAGUGAGGACCAUUACUUCCACGUUGAGCAGUGUUGCUGUGCUAGAAAGCCAACUUGAAGUUUCUGAAAAGGGUCUAUUUGGUGCCUAACGUUAAUCAAAUUUUUUAAACAUUUUUCUUUUCUUGUAGCCUAUACUUUGGCAUAGAUUAAUAUGACUGUGGCAUCCCUGUUAAUACCUUUAGUUGUUGUUUGAAUGGAAUCUAAGGUGAACAUCCCUGUAUGCUUUUAACUAGAGGCUAUGCAGCUUGUUUUUUCUGCAGGGUCCAUGGUUAAAGGCACGGUAGCAACAGAGAGUUGUAGACGACAUGAAAUCUGGUCUCAAUGCAGUACUAUAGGACGUGCCCAUAGUGUGUACUGUGUCGUGACCGGAAUUCAAUGACUCUCUUGUGAUAUCUCCAACUGAUCAUUUCCAAGCACUCCGGUAUUACUUCUGUGGUUAUGUAAGGCAGCAAUUAGGCUUUAUUACAGGACGAUGCUGGCUCCUGUUAUAAAUGAAAAUUCAUUGGGAUGUUAACAAAAUCGCCCAGGGGAAUUGGGGCUAACGGUGUAACCACUUAGCCUGACGAGGCCUCAGGUCGAUGAGAUGCACUCGUACGAUUGAAAUGAACAAUACAAUUUUUAGACACAGCAAUGCGAGGUGACUGCCCCAGAGUUACAAGGAUGUAGAGCAACAAUAAGAGCACAAAUUUCUGUCUUUAGGGUAAUGUGAAAAAUAUGGUUAUAUACUGAGUGUACAGAUGAGCAGUAUAAUUUGAUCAGAUUUUUAAGCAGCCCAAAGAGAUUUCAUAUCGUGAGACACAUGUACAAAAUAACAGCGAUUAAGAAGAGUAAACUGACAGGUGCGGCAAGUUGAGCAGGUUGGUAAAGUUGUGUGGCGAUUGUAAAGCGGCGCUCAAAAAAGACGAGGACAAAGAAAAGUGGUCAUAAGUGAUGCCUAACAGCGCAUGUGACGUGUACCUUUUCUUUGUCCUCGACUUUUUUGAGCACUGUUUUACAAUCACCGUGUAAAAGAUGUAACCAUAACUGUACUAGAGAAAAUAAGGUCACCGUAAAAAAAAAAAUAAGGAAAGGGAAAGUGGACGAACAACUUGCCGCAGGUUGAAGCUGAACUGACGUCUUCUGCGUUACGUGUGCAGUAGGUCCAUAUACGAGCACGGGUUUGUGUAAGAACACUCAUGGAAACCUUGAGUUGGUAAUAAGUAUGAAAAAGGAAGCAUUCUGGACCAAAUGAAAUAUGGAGAGUAACAACAUGGAAAGUAAAAGUCAUUAUUAUUGUUAGAGUCUACUUAUCCUGGAAAUAUAGCUAUCUCACAAUACUUUGUAGUCCUGCAGGGAGUGCUUUGAAGUGGCCAGUCAAAGAUACCAUUACAACUCACUGUAGCUGGCAGCUCUGGUACCAGCUGGCACAAGGAAAUAUUCUGCUGUUAAUUCAUACCUUCUUGCUCACUUUUUUUGCUUGUGAUGAUGUACGUACAGUGCUUGCUUGUCAGGUGGCGACCACCCUGACCUUGUUUACUUCUGGUCUAUAUGGCACGGUUGUUGGUGAGCUGCUGUGCUUGGUAUCUGCACUGGCAUUGCUAGUAGUCCUUGUAAACGCAGUGUCAGCCAAGUCAGUCAGGAGUUGUGUAUGUGUACACAACCCUGUAGGAAACCUAACAGAAAUUUUGUUUUUGGCACGGACUAACUUUCAUUGAAUUUCGGAAUCCACGGUUGUCAUACUGGUUGGAAUUUCUGCGGUGAGAUUUUAUCAAUGUGAUGACAGAAGGGGGUGAUGCUAGACGUGACAACAGUUGUGACAACUGUCGUCACGACAGUCAGUUCUGCCGUUAGCUCGACGUCCUCUUGCUUGUAAGGGCAGUUCUGUCAUGGUAGAAAACUGUCACCACAAGAUAUCCAGCUGACAACAGAAGCUUUCGUUGCAUUUUGAGACAUUCUCGUCGUCUUUUUCAACAGGGUGUGCAUAAUCUACCACCUAACAUUGGCAUUUAAGGCUGAGCCUCGCCACGAGAUUCAUUCAUCUCUACACUACCACAGCUGUAGCACUGGUCUUGUCGGUCCAUCCAUCCAUCCAUCUAUGGUUUCGGGAGCAGUGUGUGUCAUACACUGCCAGAAAGAGCUAUUUAGGUGUUUACAACUUAAUAGAGAUAGUAGCAAUUAUAGAUAUGCAUCUGUUACAAAGUAAUGAAGGGCACAUAGUCUUGGCCUGACUUUUUAAAUCCCAAGAACUCAGGCUUAGUCACAAAUUGCACUCGCAGCUGAGAUGCUCGUCAGCAGUUAGAAAAGACAUGAAGGACUGUCGCUCAGUGGCAGAUUAUUAUUUUUGUUCUUUCUUGUUUGCACGUGCAACGAAGCUAGAAAUAUAAUUUAUUUUGUGAACACGCAGUUACAUUUGCACCGAUUUAGUCGUUCGCAUAACUGACUGUUUUGAACAGUGUGUGCAUAGUGUGAAUUAUUAUUCUGCUCUCGUUAGGUGUAAGGAUGUUCAGCAUGUCUCAUCUUUCAUGACCAUAGAUCUGCGAGUUUGUGCUCUUUUUUUUUUUUGCAGGCACAGAUAUGUACACAGUGUUAUCUUUAGGUGUACCAUAUGUGAUCAUAAAGUGUUUGCUGGUGAGCAAAGUGGUGCAACUAAAAAGGCUGUGGAGGAGCCACGUUUAGCUACUCUUCUUGUACUCGUGGAUGCGCGACGAUAAUCGUUUGAAAAGAACGUUAACCGGAUGUGUGAAUAUUCAAGGUCUCUGUAAGCUUUUCACCUUCUACUAACCUUUGCUCAGGGUCGCCUUCGUAUAAUCAGCCUACUGUUCUGUCAGCAGAAAAUGUCAAUUGGUGGAGCAGCUUCCAGACGGAAUGUUGAGGACUAAAAUUCACAAUUUCUCUGUACCAUUCAUGCAUUAUUGCUUGUUAUUCUGUUGCCUGUCCUGUCAUGUGUCAGAAGUGUGCAGUUGUUUUAGUGUACAAGGGGGGGGGUGCUAGUGAUCUGACAUAUGUUACUCUAAACUCUCUGUAGUAUCCGCAGUCAAGCUUGAAUGCCACAUUCCAACUAAGAACUCCAUUGCGUUAGCCACAGUGCUUGUAAGCGUAUGUGCCACUUGCGGCUGUGGUUUCUCUAAGUCGCUUGAUUUGUGAGUUGCGUGCAAAUAGCAACGUGCGUUCAGUGUGAAAGAUCUCUCAACGUUUUUAGCGGCCUUAUACCCUUUUUUUUUUCUUUGCAGUACUUGUUUGCAAGCUAAUUGUCCUAAGAGCCAAGCACACCGCUAGAUUUCGAUCUAGCCCUGCACUCUGUCUAGUGUCAUUUUGGUUUACACCCUUGAACAAAGCGGAAAAUUUGUUUUUUUUUUUACAUGCACUUUGCUGGCUGGCUGUAAAUGACAGGGUCGUAGAAGUUUGACGCAAGCAAACGGCUGUAUUCGUAAAUGCAGACUGACUCGAUGCGAUACUUCCUUGACAUUGCCAGGGAGAGGGUUAGUGCUGGACAUUAUUUGUGUAGUCACCACACCACAGUGACACAGUUUUGCGAUUUACGAGCCAUAAGUUUGUAAUCGAGGCUUAGAAACAAAUGGCCUUUUUUUUUCUUUUUUGCAAAUGCAGAUGAACUUGCAGCACUUUCUCGACUUUGCCAAGUGGAGGGUUAAUGUCUGUCCUUAUCUGUGCACUCUCGUAACAUCAGCGACGUGCCUCUGCGAUUUAUGAGCCAUAUUUCGUCAAGUCCUUUAGAUGUCUUCUUGAAAGGCAGUAGAGGGGGAAGGGUAGUUCCUCUAGCAUCACCUCAUCGGUGGGUUCGGGAACGUGUAUUGGAGAAGUUGAGUGGCUACUUCCAUUGGAGUGGUACCAAUGCUCAGAUCGUCAAAGCAAGAACCUCACCGAGCACUACUAUUUACCGUUGUUGUGAAUACGUGUGAGCUUUUGCUGCCAAAGUGUGCAUCUCUCUAUGCGCUUUGCAGUCUCAGUGUGAUCGUAGCACUGUUUCGUACGAGCCUUUAUUGUUCAGAGGACCAAAAGCAACGUGGUGAUCGGUCGUGCGUGCGCAUUUAACAGCAGAAAAGGAAAAUAUUCGCUCAGCACAUCCUAGGAUUAAGAAAGUUCACUUGCACCACAGGUGCGCGUUCUAUGGCUCACUGCUUGUUUGCAACUUGUCGGUGAAAUAAAAAUCUAUUUUACCCGGCUGAGUAGUCCGGCAUGUAUUCCGCAAGUUUAGCUCGGCAAUAGCAUAUAUAUUCUCUCUCUGGAAAGAGCUGCUGUCUGAAUGUGGACAUUGAGAAGACGUUUGACUGUCAUGUUAUGGCGUGCAUGGUUAUAAAACGGAGCUAUAUUUCCUUCUUUUUUUAACUGACAGGACAACGCGAUUUUGCCAGGUAACUGCGAAACAAUAUGUUAACGCUACACUUCUUAUAGUGGCUGUUCACUCGGGCUAAAGUAUUUUUUCUGGGGCCUGCUUUAGAUGUGAAUUAUUUUUUACAUUGCUACGUAGGUAGCUGAUAAGUAUGCCUCGUUACUUUAUUUAUUUAGCAUCAUUCCUGUACACUUGGCAUUGCAUUUGUAAUGUACCUUGAAGCAUUGAGUUCCUGGCAGCAAGAAUGGACUGUCAUGUUCCCACAACCUUUCAGAAGAAAAAUUUGUGUAGAGGUUGUUUAUGUCACCUGGCUUCUAAUCUUUAUUUUGUGUGUGUGUGUGUGGUGUUGCCGUGCAAUCCAUCAACACGCUUGUAUUACAAUAGUAGUUGCAAAUGUGCUGGCUGUUCAGACUGUUCUUUUAGCCGUCUGCAAAUCUUUAUGCCUUGAGCCCUCUUUUAAAUAGCAUUGAAGGUGCAGGGUCAAUUAGAAAUUAAAUAUAUAUACAAUAUAUAUUAUAUAGUAUAUUAAUUGAAGGGAAGAGAAUAAGUUUCACGCGGCAUCUCUGCCUGUUCCACUGCAAAAUUACCACAAGAGCUUUAGAGUUGGGUGUUCAGUUCUAUGCCUCAAGCGGCAGCAAUAGUCGAGGCUUGAUUUGAGGCAGCGGUCUGUGAUAAAAAGUAUGUAUACAUAGGUAGCCUACAUCCCAGUGUCCUGGUUGCUGCUAUAGUCGAGCUUUUGUUUUCUUUAUUUUUAUUAUUAUUUUUUUUUGUCUGCUACAGUAGGGCACCCUUCUGCCUAACCUCAAGGUCAGCGUCCCUGCACAGCAAAAACUCCUUAAUGGUAGUGGCAAGCCAUGUCUAUAGGAUGAAAAUUAUGUGCAUUGUGAAUGUGUGUUCCUUUUUUUUUACCACAGAAUCCCAGUUUGCAUACAUUGCCUCUACACUAGAAAAUAUGCAGUUGGCCGAUUCUAUAACAGUACCACGCGAGCGUCCACUGGUUGGCCAGUCAGUGCCUUCUAACGGUGCGAAGGCGCUUACUGGCCGGCCAGUCAACGCUCGCGCGGUACUGUUAAAGAAUCGGUCGACUGUGCAUUGUUGCACUGCUCUUGUUGAACUGCCGACGGAACUGCUGCAUUUAAUGAUUGUGGCUAUAGUAUCAUGGGUGACUGGAACACGAACAGGACGGUUCACGUACAUAUGCAAAAAAAAAUGAAAAAUAAAGUGUAGAAUUUUAUUGGUAGGUUAUGUGUCAGGGGCAAUUCACUUGCCCUUGUAGUACAGUGACAUUUCAUUCGCCAUCAAAAAGGUAGAGGAGGCUGUAGCUAAAAGCUGCCCCCAUAACAGCAGCUUGACAGAACCCCUGCUCUACAAAACAAUCGGCUAAACUCAUGCACCAUAUCACUCUUGCAAGAGUACCAUAUCACUCUUGCAAGUUAUUGUCAAGGGUAGUAAUGUGUCUGUUAGUCUAAGAACAGUACUGCAGUUUUACUGUUGGAAUUUAAAUUUCGCAUUGUGAGUUUCACAUGUGGCAAACUGCCUGGCACUGUGCAAGUCAAUGGCACAUCCAGUCACUGCUCAAGUACAAAAUGAAACUGCAUAAAGCAUUGUGUUGAUAACUGGAGCACUAAGCACCAAGACAUAGCCAACUUAUUCUGCAAGGGUCAUGUCACCAUAAUAGAGUGUUCUGACAUAGUGUGUGCUUACUAGAGCAAAUGUUUGCAGGAUGGGCUAUCAGAAUGCGUACAAGUGAACAGUGGUGCUGGUGAUGCUAGCUAGUGACACAAUGUUGAACAAAAGCAUGCAGUGCUUUUAUUGCAGUGACCAAUGGCACUCCACAUACUGUCUACGUAAGCGUGCCAACAGCGACCUAAUCCUAGAAAAAGUAUUUUUGCAACUUUUUGUUUUUGUGGAAAUAGUUCAUGCUACACAAAAAGUCUGUGACAUGUUAUCUAUCCUUGAUUGCAAUGUCACAAGGUGGUGCUAGCAGCCUUGCUGCUCCUGGAUAAGGCUUCUGUUAUUCUAGUAUACCGUAUUUAUUUGAAUAUAAGGCGAGGUUGUUUCCCAGAAUUUUUAGCACCGAAGUCACAAAAUACCUUAUAUACAAAUUUUGCCUUUAGGUGUGGCUCUACGGCAGCACGCGCUGUGGUGCCGUGAAGCCACCCUAUAAGGAGAAAUUCGCACUUCCGUGAAGCCACACCGUUAAGGCAAAAUUCGCAUAUAACCCACAUGUUGAAGCUUGCUUCCCCCCCUAUUUCAUGGUUGCCAUUUUUCAUUUUGGCUGUGUUAGUAAUUCAAUAUUUCAGGCAAUCCCCGCCGAGUCUCGAUAAUUCGUCGGCUACUCUGUAUCGCCUUAUAUUGGUGUGCGUACUCAAGUUUUUUUUUCUUGGGUCCCCCCGAUUGCAUCCUCGCCUUAUAAUCAUGACCACCUUAUAAUUGAAUAAAUACGGUACAUUAAUAUUAGUGUGUCACCUCUUUGCUGAACUUUUCCAAUGAAGGAACUUUUUGCUGCUGUUUGGGGGAACCUGACCUUGAAGUUCACUAAGGGUGUAUAUUCAGGUCGUUUUACGGGAGUUGUAAGUAAGCUGAAUAAUGCGAAACGAGGAGGGCUCGUGUACAUAGUAUUUUGUUACAAAACACAGACAUGAAGAGAUAUGUUUAGGUUGUGUAUGUGUUGGAAUUUUUUUUUUCCAGUUCAUGUUGUAGUGGGAAACAGGACUUCAGAUAGUGCUGAAAGUUCUUAUAGUGAAAAAUAGUCCCCGGUGUGAUGCAUUGCUCUAUAACGCAGCUGUACUUGUUUUUUGGAACAACUGAUGCGAUGCAUUUUACCAUGCACCUUGUUCUGUUCACAUGUAGAUUGUACAUACAAAGAGGCUUGUUUUAUUUGUUAUAUAGUCUAUAUGCAUAGCUAUGCACGUGUUAUUUAGUUGUUGCAUUUUAACCCACACUUCAGAUAUAGUUUUUGUUCUUGCUUUUGCAGGCCACUGUAGAAUAGGUUACUCGGUUUUUGGCUGUCGUUCAUUUUAAACUUUUUUUGUGUGUUAAGAAGCAACAGUGGUCGCAGACAGGUUGUGAUGAGCAAGUUUUUUGAGGCCAGUUUUGUCGUGCAGUGGAGUGCAUUUGCCAUCUGCUUCUUGAGGCAUGGAUGGUUGUUCUCGGUUUAAUGCCACCAUGUUGGGUGCAUCAACGCAAUGCCAAAAAAUUUUUAAUUGCAGCUUCCCGGUUGUGCAUUUAAGGAUGUGGGCCUGAAUUCGCAGAGAAAUCUCGUAUGGCACAGCACUUCAUGAGCACUUCAUUUGGCAGAUAACUUUUUAAGAUUAAAAGCCACUGGCCAAUGAAAAUUGUGAAUUAAAAGGCUUUGGGAAUUCUGCCCCAACCUGAUUAUCCCUUAUUUUGACCACUAAUCCCAAAUGCCUUGUUUAAACUGUUCACUGGAUUAAUGUUCUUACAAUUUAGGAAUAUCUCUCUAUUUCCACAUGAUCGACAAAUUGAAGCCUGCCAAAUGUGAGUGCUCUUCUAAAUUCAGGUUGUGAAGUUGCACACCAGUCAUAAAUUGCAGUGUUGAAGAUUUAUCAUUCCGUGCAAAACCCAGUCACUGUAAAGCAAAAUUAAGUACAUAUGUAAGAAACUUGCACCAUGUAGGCACACUCGUUCACUUGACUGUUGAUUGCCUUGGGGUGUUUGUAUUCUUGAAUGUGUGCCUGAAAUUAUGUGGUACCGGUUUUUAAUUGAGAUGAUUGCUGUGUACAUGGGUGAGCACCAUCGUUUCUACAAGUGUCGGAAUGUCAUCACUGGUGAGCGAAUUGUAUUCAGAUGUUUUUUUUUGUUUGUUUGUUUGUGUGGAGACUUGCUACAGUGCAAAAUCAAGGUGUUUCGUAUUGUACUCGUGUUGCCUUUGACGUGGUGAUUCGACGAUCGAUUGUUUAUUUGGUUUAGAGCCUAAGCAGCCUGAGGCUAAUUAUUUAGAGUGGAACUCUCAGCUUGGAGGGGUAAUAAAAACAUCUCUAAAGCUUUC